rnacentral:lncRNA from 1 species
AAGUAAAAUUCAUGCACUUAGUCUUUCCCUAUGUUCGAAUUCCCUUAUACAGGUUUAUUUUGAAAAGAAUUAUAGAAUAAGUAAAACGACAAUCAUAUUUUAGUACCACUGCCAAGGAUAGACAAUAGCAUUGAGUGUUAGGAAUUAAUUGCUGGUUUAGUUAGAUGGGAGAUAGGCAGCAAAUUUAGUAGAAUAUAAUGAAAGAGUAUGGUUAUUA